AGCUUUGCGCAGUGGCAGUAUCGUAGCCGAUGAGGUUUACCUGAGGCGUGAUUAUUGCUUAUUGAAAACUUUUCUCAAUACCCCACUAUGAUGACUUGAAAAAUAAGUGUGAUUCUGAAAGUUUUUUUUUAAA